rnacentral:rRNA from 1 species
AUGAAAUUGUUGAAAGGGAAACGAUUGAAGCCAGUCGUACCUUCGGGUAAUCAGCCUUUCGGGUGCGAUUCUGUGGAGUGAGAGGAGCUUAAACACCUUCAUGUUUUGCAUAUUCGUACUCUUGGGUGUACUUGCCCGUGUGGUUGGUUAACAUCAAUUUUGGGGGUCAUAAAAUGACUGGGGGAAUGUAGCUUCGAUCUUGUAUUGAAGUGUUAUAGCCUUCGGUAGAUGUGAUGAUCGAGAUUGAGGAUUGCAACGGAUACCCUUCGGGGCUACCUGUCUGGUCUCUGAUCGUUGCUUUGGUGCCGAAAGCUUGCUUACGGUUAUCAAAGUCGAUGGUCAAUAGGUUAGAACGGGUUAAAUUCGUUAAGGAUGUUGACGUAAUGGCUUUAAACGACCCGUCUUGAAACACGGACCAAGA